GUGUCAGCAGCCGCGGUAAGACAGAGGGUGCAAACGUUGUUCGGAAUUACUGGGCGUAAAGCGUGUGUAGGCGGUCUCGCAAGUCGGAUGUGAAAGCCCCGGGCUCAACCCGGGAAGUGCACCCGAUACUGCAAGACUCGAGUACCGGAGAGGUUGGUGGAAUUCUCGGUGUAGAGGUGAAAUUCGUAGAUAUCGAGAGGAACACCGGUGGCGAAGGCGGCCAACUGGACGGAUACUGACGCUGAGACACGAAAGCGUGGGGAGCAAACAGGAUUAGAAACCCGCGUAGUCC
rnacentral:rRNA from 1 species